GACGUAGGGGGCGAGCGUUGUCCGGAUUCAUUGGGCGUAAAGCGCGCGCAGGCGGCCCGGUAAGUCGGAUGUGAAAUCCCACGGCUCAACCGUGGAACUGCAUUCGAUACUGUCGGGCUAGAGGCAGGUAGGGGAGAUCGGAAUUCCUGGUGUAGCGGUGAAAUGCGCAGAUAUCAGGAGGAACACCGGUGGCGAAGGCGGAUCUCUGGGCCUGUCCUGACGCUCAGGCGCGAAAGCUAGGGGAGCGAACAGG
rnacentral:rRNA from 1 species